rnacentral:rRNA from 1 species
CGAUACGGGACUCAUCCGAGGCCCCGUAAUCGGAAUGAGAACACUUUAAAUCCUUUAGCGAGGAUCCAUUGGAGGGCAAGUCUGGUGCCAGCAGCCGCGGUAAUUCCAGCUCCAAUAGCGUAUAUUAAAGUUGUUGCGGUUAAAAAGCUCGUAGUUGAAUCUGUGUGCCACGCUGUCGGUUCAUCGCUCGCGAUGUUUAACUGACAUGAUUGUGGGACGUCCUACCGGUGGACUUAGCCUUUCGAGGCGGUCCAGCUAAUAUCCCAUCGCGGUGCUCUUCAUCGAGUGUCGAGGUGGGCCGGUACGUUUACUUUGAACAAAUUAGAGUGCUCAAAGCAGGCUAUGCUCGCCUGAAUACUGUGUGCAUGGAAUAAUGGAAUAGGACCUCGGUUCUAUUUUGUUGGUUUUCGGAACCCCGAGGUAAUGAUUAAUAGGGACAGAUGGGGGCAUUCGUAUUGCGACGUUAGAGGUGAAAUUCUUGGAUCGUCGCAAGACGGACAGAAGCGAAAGCAUUUGCCAAAAAUGUUUUCAUUAAUCAAGAACGAAAGUUAGAGGUUCGAAGGCGAUCAGAUACCGCCCUAGUUCUAACCAUAAACGAUGCCAGCUAGCGAUCCGCCGAUGUUCCUCCGAUGACUCGGCGGGCAGCUUCCGGGAAACCAAAGCUUUUGGGUUCCGGGGGAAGUAUGGUUGCAAAGCUGAAACUUAAAGGAAUUGACGGAAGGGCACCACCAGGAGUG